GACGGAGGAUGCAAGUGUUAUCCGGAAUCACUGGGCGUAAAGCGUCUGUAGGUGGUUUAAUAAGUCAACUGUUAAAUCUUGAGGCUCAACCUCAAAAUCGCAGUCGAAACUAUUAGGCUAGAGUAUAGUAGGGGUAAAGGGAAUUUCCAGUGGAGCGGUGAAAUGCGUAGAGAUUGGAAAGAACACCGAUGGCGAAGGCACUUUACUGGGCUAUUACUAACACUCAGAGACGAAAAGCUAGGGUAGCAAAUAGGG
rnacentral:rRNA from 1 species